CAAAAUAGGUACAUAUAUAUGUACCGAUAAUUAUUUUGUGUUAAAAAUAUGAGGCAAAUUAUACUGCCCGAUUAUACGGACUACAUAUUAAAAACGAUUAUCUUGGAAACAGUCAAUAGAUGUCGAACCACCAGCAAAGUUUUUGAAGAGGUGUAGUUCCUGGUACCAACUGGAAACUGAAACUAAUAAUCUACACUCAAGAAAAUGAAAUAUAGUCACAGAAAA